GACGAACGCUGGCGGCGUGCUUAACACAUGCAAGUCGAACGGAAAGGCCCUGCUUUCAGGCUUCUCGAGUGGCGAACGGGUGGGUGACACGUGGGUGGUCUGCCCUGCACUUCGGGUUAAGCCUGUGCAACUGGCUCUAAUACCUACCAGGUGCCAUUUUUAGUGUGAUGGUUGGAAAGUUUUUUCGGUUUAGGCUGAGCUCGCGGCCUAUCAGCUUGUUGGUGGGGUAAUGGGCUACCAAGGCGGCGACGGGUAGCCGGCCUGAGAGGGUGGACUGCCACAUUGGGACUGAGAUACGGCACAGACACCUAAGGGAGGGAGCAGUGGGGAAGAUUGCACAAGGGGCGCAAGGCUGAUGCAGCGGGGCCGCGUGGGGGAUGACGGCCUUCGGGUUGUAAACUACUUGCGCAAGGGACGAAGCAUUUUGUGACGGUACCUAGACAAGAAGCACCGGCUAACUACGUG
rnacentral:rRNA from 1 species